AACGAACGCUGGCGGCAUGCCUAACACAUGCCAGUCGAACGAGACCUUCGGGUCUAGUGGCGCACGGGUGCGUAACGCGUGGGAACCUACCCUUAGGUUCGGAAUAACUCCCCGAAAGGGGUGCUAAUACCGGAUAAUGUCUUCGGACCAAAGAUUUAUCGCCUUUGGAUGGGCCCGCGUUGGAUUAGCUAGUUGGUAGGGUAAAAGCCUACCAAGGCGACGAUCCAUAGCUGGUCUGAGAGGAUGAUCAGCCACACUGGGACUGAGACACGGCCCAGACUCCUACGAGAGGCAGCAGUGGGGAAUAUUGGACCAUGGGCGAAAGCCUGAGCCAGCAAUGCCGCGUGAGUGAUGAAGGCCUUAGGGUUGUAAAGCGCUUUUACCCGGGAUGAUAAUGACAGUACCGGGAGAAUAAGCUCCGGCUAACUCCGUG
rnacentral:rRNA from 1 species